CCUACGGGUGGCAGCAGUGGGGAAUAUUGCACAAUGGGGGAAACCCUGAUGCAGCGACGCCGCGUGAGUGAAGAAGUAUUUCGGUAUGUAAAGCUCUAUCAGCAGGGAAGAUAAUGACGGUACCUGACUAAGAAGCCCCGGCUAACUACGUGCCAGCAGCCGCGGUAAUACGUAGGGGGCAAGCGUUAUCCGGAUUUACUGGGUGUAAAGGGUGCGUAGGUGGCAGGGCAAGUCAGAUGUGAAAGCCCGGGGCUCAACCCCGGUACUGCAUUUGAAACUGUCCAGCUGGAGUGCAGGAGAGGUAAGCGGAAUUCCUAGUGUAGCGGUGAAAUGCGUAGAUAUUAGGAGGAACACCAGUGGCGAAGGCGGCUUACUGGACUGUAACUGACACUGAGGCACGAAAGCGUGGGGAGCAAACAGGAUUAGAUACCC
rnacentral:rRNA from 1 species